GGUUAGUCAACAUUUUCCCAUCUGAUAAGUUGUUUUCUUUAAAUGCAGUCAUCUAGGAGACAAUGCUCUCAAGCGGAAUUCAACUCAACUUUUCAGCUCAAAGAUGGUUCUGGUGCACUUGUUUGGUAAUUCAUAUGGUAUUGCUGGUAGAAGUGAGAAUAGGAGCAAGGGUAGAAGCUUGGGAGCUUUGGAAAGAUUAUGAAGUCUCUGCUCGGAAGAACAGUUAAGAGCACCAGAUGGUUUGACAUUUUCAUAUGUGGAAUGAGGGGGCUAAGUUUGUCGUCAAUACAUAUAUCUAGGAGAUAUUAGAAUUAUUUUUUGUGUCUUAAUGUGUGGAUGAUUGGGAAAUACAUCCUUUGUAGUACAUUUGAUUGUUUAAUGUAUGAAUUGGAGUACUUCAAUUGAUGAAUUAGAUUCAAAUUUCUUUUCAAUA